rnacentral:rRNA from 1 species
CCCUUAGAUUUUCUGGGCCGCACGCGCGCUACACUGAUGCAUUCAACGAGUUUCUUCCUGGUCCGAGAGGAAUGGGUAACCUUUUGAAAGUGCAUCGUGAUAGGGAUAGACUAUUGCAAUUAUUGGUCUUCAACGAGGAAUUCCUAGUAGACGUAGUUCAUCAGACUGCAUCGAUUACGUCCCUGCCCUUUGUACACACCGCCCGUCGCUCCUACCGAUUGAAUGCUCAGGUGAGCCAUUCGGACUUUCAUCAUGCUGGUUUCCAGUUUUGAUGAAGGAAAGUCUUGCGAACCUUAUCAUUUAGAGGAAGGAGAAGUCGUAACA